UAUGAACAGAUCUUGAACUGAAGUUUGACCAUUUCAUGAUCACUUCUCCGAAAAGCCCCCGACAUAAAUAUGGUCAAUUGAGUGGGACUUGGAAGCUCAUUUGGUUUGAUAACAACGAUCAACCAGCAAAUCAGGAGAAAGUAACGGCAGCCCAGCCCAUGUGUCAUCAACAUACCUUGGAUAUCAAAGUUCACAGCAGACAACAGACAGGCAUGGAUAACUUUUCUGAUUCACUCGUCUCACCAUCAUUGUCCCUGAAGCAAAAGCAUUUGGUUUAAAUUUUCAGCUUUCCACAAAGACAAUAUAACUCAGAAGCACAAGGAAACAAAGUGUAUAUCACCAAGUAAACCAUAAAAAGAAGAAAAAUAGUACGUCACUGAGUAAAGCAU